UGGAGUGGAGACGUGGCGCUGGGAGACGCCAAGGAGUACCACCGGAGGCACAAGGUGUGCGAGUCGCACUCGAAGGCUCCCGGGGUAGUGAUGAAGUCAACGAUGCCUUCGUUGGGAAACCGAGAAAUGAAGUCAAGAACACAUCCAGAAUAUGUUUCUUGAGCCGUAUACUGCAGUAGACAGGAAGCUGCGCCAUAAAGUACGAGUUUACUUCUCCGCCCCGAUGAAUCUAUAAGAUCGCCCAUUGAAUUCCAUUCUUUGUGUAUAGAGUAUCUUUAAAUAGAUGUCCGAAUAAUCAGGUUGAAUGAUUUUGUGCCAUUAUAAAUUACGAGACAACGGUUGGUACAAAAAUUCUCUUGAUGCUAACCGCAAUAUGGUUCCAUAUGCACAGUACAUAGCAUGCAAUUCACAUAUCUCUCCGAUGAGCAUGUUAGAAUUUAUGCAAGUGUGAUUUAUGUGCGCAUUGUUUCUUUAUAAUAUGGAUCUUGUU